CUUAAGUGGACCUUCAUAGUGAAUUAUGUUCGUUAUCCUCUGUACUAGAAAGGUUAUUUGGGAUACCUUUGCGGUGUUUCUGGUUUUUUUACUAGCUCUUUGUACAGAUCGUCAGUAAUGCUAAGCUACUUUGAACCCUCACUUUGAUUUUUCGAUCAGAAGAUUUGAAAACGAACUACACCGAUGGAAUCUGAAAAACGAGCACAAUAGUUACCUGGAGCUAGAAGCUGUAAUUCUAGCACAAGCUGUUGUAGUCUCAACUUCAUUGGUGUUGUCCCUGACAGGUUCUUGUUUCACAUCAGUUAAAUCUUCCCUCAGGGCGUUCGCCGCAGUCGGUGCGGUGCUGCUAGCGAACGUAGUUGCUUCUUCCUCAGGCAGAAUGUCAGUUAUCAUAAGCUCUUCCACCUUCACUGUUGCAGCGAAGUUCUCCACCUUUAUGAAGCUUAAUUCCUCCAUUUUGCAUACACAACUUACGUGCUGGAAACAAACUAUCGCUUUAUUGUGAUUAUGCUUACUUCUUCACUCGAUUCAGCUGCACAAUGCAGCAGUAUAAAACGGUAUAAAAUUCAAUAAUAUUCCUCCGAUUCAAGCUAUAGUAAACAAAAA